GAAGGCUUUAAACUGAAAGAGGGUAGAUUUAGACUGGACAUAUGGAAAAAAUUCACUAUAAGGGUGGUGAGGCACUGAAACAGGUUGCCCAGAAAGGUUGGUUGCCGUAUCAUUGGAAAUGUUGCAAGUUAGUUUGGAUGAGGCUUUAAGCAACCUGAUCUGGUGGAAGAUACUCCUGCCUGGGGCAGGGGAGUUAGAAAUAAAUGAUAUUUAAAGGUGUCUUUCAUCCCAAACCACUCUGUAAUUCUUAGUAUGACGAAGUCAAGAUUCACUUGGAUCAAACAUUGGAACAUGGUGGUUGUACUUUCUCCAUCUUUGGAGCUUUUUGGGUGCACACUGGCUGAAGCCCUGAGCAUGCUGGUAUGACCCCAUGGCUAAUACUGUUCUGAGUCAGGCUGAGGACCUCCAGGAGCUUAUCCUCGAUUUCUUUAUGCUUUCCUUUUCUUUAGUUUCAUUUUUUUAGAGUAGAGUAUGACGAGAAAUCACUGGAAUGCUUGUUUCUGCCAUCUCUGUUCUUUGCCACUUCACAUUUUAAGUAGAUCUAGAAAUUAACAAUUCAAACGUGUCAUUUCUUUUAAAAAAAAAAAAAAUCACCAGUGAUGUUGAUAAAAGUUGGAUUAGGCUGAAAUUUCCUCCUUUCUGAGGAAACAAAAUACCAGAAUCAGGUAAAGAGUUAAGUGGCAAUUCUUAGCCAAAGAUAUGUGACAUCUACCAUAAAGUGAAAGAAGGAUUUUGAAUAGCAUAUAAUGUAAGAAUAGCAUAUAAUGUAAAUUACCUAUGCAUCUCCUGUAAAAUUGUUCGGUCCCCUUUACUUGGUGUGAAAGGAACUGACCAUCUCUUCAUUUCCCACAAUUGGCUUGCAUUUCCAUCUUUUCUCCUCCAGCUAAAGGCAACUUUUAGUGUUUUUAAAAUAAAUAAAUAAAAUAAUAAUAAAUCUU